GACGAACGCUGGCGGCGUGCUUAACACAUGCAAGUCGAACGAUGAAGAAGAGAAACGCGAACUUCGGUUCAAAUUUCACUUCGGAUUAGUGGCAGACGGGUGAGUAACGCGUGAGCAACCUACCUCUUACAAAGGGAUAGCCUCGGGAAACCGUGAUUAAUACCAUAUGACACAUUCAUAAGGCAUCUUAAGAAUGUUAAAGCUACGGCGGUAAGAGAUGGGCUCGCGUCCCAUUAGCUAGUUGGUGAGGUAACGGCCCACCAAGGCGACGAUGGGUAACCGGCCCGAGAGGGUGAACGGUCACAUUGGAACUGAGACACGGUCCAAACUCCUACGGGAGGCAGCAGUGGGGAAUAUUGCACAAUGGAGGGAACUCUGAUGCAGCGACGCCGCGUGAGCGACGAAGGAAUUCGUUUCGUAAAGCUCUGUUCUAUGGGAAGAAAAGGACUGUACCAUAGGAGAAAGCCCCGGCUAAAUACGUG
rnacentral:rRNA from 1 species